GUUUCAGGCAAAAAUAUUUAAUCAACCAACAACAUUUUAAGUAUUGGGAAACUGAUUUACUUUUUACGGUAUAUUUAAUUUUUUUUGUACAAAGCUUUAUGUGUCCUUGCAUGAACUUUUGCAUUUCACACAAAUAUAAAUAGGAAAAAACAUUCGUACACAUUCUUAACACUCUAAUGCACCACAGGACUUUCCCAGGCAAACAGUAAGUAAAAGUCAAUCACUUUGCACCUUUAAAUCAGUUGGCAUCAGUAAACACACAAUGAAAUGUCACAGCAAUGACCAGUGGCACUAGUAACACCAAAGUCAACGUUCGACUCCCAGGGGACACAAAUACUGCUAAAGUUUAUACCCCAAAUCCACUUCAAGUAACUUUGGAUAAAAGCAUCUGCUAAAUGAAUAAAUUUAAAUGAAAUCUGCUUUAUCCACAGGAGCUGAAAUUAUGUAAACAAGGCUUCAAAUGCCUUCUCUAUCAUGAAAUCGUGUAAUAUACACAUUUUAGCAUCCAGAAUAAAUCAAAUAAACACAAGCGAUAACUUGCAUACUCUACCCACGUCAUGUUUCGUAUCUCUGCCUCGUUUUAACAGCUAAUGAUUGUCCCCUGAGGGCUAAUGCUUCAAAGAUUUCAUGGAGCUUUAUGUAAAUGUACACCAUACAACCACAAUGAGGAACGUCAGGAUGACAAGAAGGAUAUUUUACAUGCCACGUGAGAUUUCAUAACUGAAUAUUUUUCAGAGUGCAUGUGGUGGUGGACUUUUUUUUUUCUAAAGCAUACUUUUGGAUCAUCAUCUUGCUGGUUUUGUAAUUGGAGAUAAUUAAGGAACUGAUAACAGUAUAGUUGCCUGAAGCACACCCUGCCUCAUUCUCCAAUAUGAGUGCCUUUGUAAUUGAUACUGUCAAUUACUUUCAGCUGCACUGGUGUGAAACGAGGCUUUUAAAAGCCAUUGGAUUGUGGCAUUUUCCUGGUCCUUUAAUUCCCUUUUCUUUCCGUUGUAGUUGUUUUCUCUUUGAUUUGUUCCCUGACACGCCUCUUACAUGUAAUGUGUUUGUCGGAGAUGUAGCUCUCUUGUGGGUCUCUCACCAGAAAGAAAUAAGUUAUUUAUAGUUUAUUUUCUCUUCAGUUUUGUUGUGGCUGGCUAGAAAAACCUUUUGUUCAGAGGUUCUCAUCUGGCUCUACUUCCAGUAGUGACCAAAUAGAUAACUCAUACCGUACAAAAUGUCAACAAAACCCACUUAAAAUCAAAAGUUGACAUUUUGAAAUAUUAACUGAUUGAUGUUUAAAUAAUAAUAUUAAAAAAUAUAUUUUUAUAUUUGUUAUUAUAAAUGCUAGACAUUUUAAUAUUAAUAUUGCUAUAUAAUUAUAUUGUAGUUUUAAUAAUUUACUCUUUUGAAAAUGUAUUAAUGUUAAAUGGAAUUUACUAUUUUUGCCCAGUAUGUAAGCUUAUUAUGAAAGGUUUAAUUGGAGAAUUUACACUUAUGUAUAAACAACCGCAGUUGUAUGAUUAAUCAUCCUAACACUUCAAAUAAGCACUAGUUCAAAAUUUGUGUUAGGAUUAGCUGUAUUUCUAAGUCACAAACAAAUUUACACCAGAACUGCAUACUUUUUUUUAUUUUUUUGGAUGCAUGAUCUAGUUAAUUGUAUUUAGUUUUCUGUCCUCGUUAUACAUGGGUCCAUGGUUGGUUGCAUUUUAUUGAUAGCUUUAGUAAUACUGAGAACCACUGCUUUAGUUGAUUCAAAUAUUGUUUGCUUAAAGUGAUGAGAAAGGUUAAUUAUUUGCAGUCCUAUCCUGACUGAAUGGGAAUGAACAUAAUUACUUCUGGGCAAAAUUAUUUUUUUUCUGGCAAACAUACACAUUCAGGCACACUGUCUAUGAUAUCAGUAUUGUAUGGGCUGCAGGUGUGUGAUUCCUGUGUAGUAUCACAGUGUUAAAUCCAUAAGCCCUGAUCAGUGUGAAGUCUUUUGAUUCAGCGCAGCAGUGCUCCAUUUUGCCCCAAACAGGAACAUCUGAUCCCUCUUUCUGCUGGAACGGCACAUGGACCCGCAGCCAGAUCAUCUGUCUCCUUUAUCAUCUACUUGAGUCUGACUUUUCAGGAUUCUCUGUCCACUAAGGACAUAAUCCAUGUGUAUCGGUUUAUCUCCAUCUAGCUUACUCCUCACCGGUACAACGUUCAGCCAGAUCUCGCCAAGAACCCAGGAAAGAUGUGAAGUAUCACAGACUGGAUACUUGAAAAUGAGAGAAGAAGCUCUGUACCUUCACUCCCAAUCCUGAACAAAAAUCCAGUCUAGCUUGAUUAGAUGAAAUCCAAAUUGUGUCUGUUUUUCCAUUUGAAGAAACAACCAUACUCUUCUGUGUCCAUUUUAGUGUGCCUUCUCUCCAGUGAUUUAUUAAAGCUCUUGCUCAAAAGCUCAUUAACUGACACAGUCAUGCAAAACAUGAUUUUAAAAUGCAUUUUAUUUCAUAUUAUUUUCUUAGCAAUACAUUUAUAAUGCCAGUAACUUAAUGUACUUUGAUUCAGGAACUGUAAUCAAAUUACAUUUAAAUUGUAAUGUAAUACAUUAAUGUGUUAUUGCAAAAGUAACUAGAAAACAGGAACACGCAUUCAGUACUUUGUAACACAUUAUACCCAACUCUGAUAAAGACACACAAUGUAAAAUACUUACAUAUGAUAAGAAAAAGUGGGGUCCUAAAAUCUCGCACCAUAUGAAAAAUGCUUGUUUUGUUUUUCUUUUUACUUUCUAGUAUAAUACAAUAAAAUAUUGUUUAAUUACAAACUUUGUUGCCUGCAUGCAUUUGAGAAGAAUGUUUAAUAUAAUAAUUUGCAUGAAUUAGUUGGUAUGUCCCCCUUUUGCAAUUUCAAAAGUGUGCUUCAUUUUCUCAACAAAAACUGUAAGCUUGUACUGCUCAAGCAGUACAAAAUAAGUAAAAUAAACUAAACAAAUAAUAGUACAAAUAAAAUGUGCAUGAUCUUAUUUAUUUCCAGGUUUAAACAGAAAAACUUCCCAGGUGUUCAGUGUGGUCUCAGGCUUUUAAACCCUCCAUCAGUGCAUGGUGUAUGUACUGUAGUAACCAGUAAAUUGUUGGUUCUACCCUCAUAAGGAGGGAGACAUGAGUCAUCACCAUCUUGCCCUUGAGCAUGACACUUAACCUUUUUCCAAGGGACUGUCUCUGCAAUCAGUUCAUGUCUUUCUGUAGUGAUAUUAUAUGAAAGUCCAGGAGAUUCUAUUCCAUAUAGAGAACUGAGUGAGUUUUAACAGAGAAUGGAGGAGAACCAGAUGGAAGCAGCAGGGUCCAUUAGUCUUCCUGGCAUCUCAAUUAUCACAUCUCCUCAAAGGUCACGAUGAUGACUCCUGCCCUCAUGACAGUUAAUGCGCUGACCCUAGGUCAGAUCUCAGAGACUUGUGAUGGACUGCACACCCACACAUCAUCUGCUUUCAUUCAUUCCUU